rnacentral:misc_RNA from 1 species
AAGGAGUCUAACAUAUCUGCGAGUAUUUGGGUGUCAAACCCGAGUGCGCAAUGAAAGUGAACGUAGGAGCCACGCGCAAGCUGCAGCUUCGACCGAUCUGGAUCUUUAGUGAUGGAUUUGAGUAAGAGCAUAUAUGCUGGGACCCGAAAGAUGGUGAACUAUGCCUGUAUAGGGCGAAGCCAGAGGAAACUCUGGGUGAGGCUCGCAGCGGUUCUGACGUGCAAAUCGAUCGUCAAAUAUGGGCAUGGGGGCGAAAGACUAAACGAACCUUCUAGUAGCUGGUUUCCGC